rnacentral:rRNA from 1 species
GAUGAACGCUGGCGGCGUGCCUAAUACAUGCAAGUCGAGCGAACGGACGAGAAGCUUGCUUCUCUGAUGUUAGCGGCGGACGGGUGAGUAACACGUGGAUAACCUACCUAUAAGACUGGGAUAACUUCGGGAAACCGUAGCUAAUACCGGAUAAUAUUUUGAACCGCAUGGUUCAAAAGUGAAAGACGGUCUUGCUGUCACUUAUAGAUGGAUCCGCGCUGCAUUAGCUAGUUGGUAAGGUAACGGCUUACCAAGGCAACGAUGCAUAGCCGACCUGAGAGGGUGAUCGGCUACACUGGAACUGAGACACGGUCCAGACUCCUACGGGAGGCAGCAGUAGGGAAUCUUCCGCAAUGGGCGAAAGCCUGACGGAGCAACGCCGCGUGAGUGAUGAAGGUCUUCGGAUCGUAAAACUCUGUUAUUAGGGAAGAACAUAUGUGUAAGUAACUGUGCACAUCUUGACGGUACCUAAUCAGAAAGCCACGGCUAACUACGUG